rnacentral:rRNA from 1 species
GUAUCCAACCUGCCCACCACUUGGGGAUAACCUUGCGGAAGUAAGACUAAUACCCAAUGGUGAUGGAUGGGGAUGCGUCUGAUUAGCUUGUUGGCGGGGUAACGGCCCACCAAGGCGACGAUCAGUAGGGGUUCUGAGAGGAAGGUCCCCCACAUUGGAACUGAGACACGGUCCAAACUCCUACGGGAGGCAGCAGUGAGGAAUAUUGGUCAAUGGACGAGAGUCUGAACCAGCCAAGUAGCGUGCAGGAUGACGGCCUAUGGGUUGUAAACUGCUUUUAUAAGGGAAUAUGUACCUUAUGAAUAAGGACCGGCUAAUUCCGUGCCAGCAGCCGCGGUAAUACGGAAGGUCCGGGCGUUAUCCGGAUUUAUUGGGUUUAAAGGGAGUGUAGGCCGGAGAUUAAGCGUGUUGUGAAAUGUAGACGCUCAACGUCUGCACUGCAGCGCGAACUGGUUUCCUUGAGUACGCACAAAGUGGGCGGAAUUCGUGGUGUAGCGGUGAAAUGCUUAGAUAUCACGAAGAACUCCGAUUGCGAAGGCAGCUCACUGGAGCGCAACUGACGCUGAAGCUCGAAAGUGCGGGUAUCGAACAGGAUUAGAUACC